CACUACACCACACUGGCUCGAGGGACACAGGAAUUCAGGGAGAUUAACAUCAACUGAAUCCUGCAAAGAAAUUUCACUUUGGAAAUCUCUUGCCCGCCCUUUCUAUUACUGUUUAGUUUAAUUAAUGGUAUACCUUACUGCUGCAGUGAAGAGUUUAUUCCAUGGAAUGUGUCAUGGAUAGAAGCACCAUCUUCCAAUUUCUGAAGGCUGGGUGGCUUAAGAAGGAAAGUUUCCUGGCAAAGAGAACCCAGAAGUGAAGAUGUAGCAUCACUGCCCUACUAGCAGAAAUACCACAGUUUGUCUGUGUGAAGCAAGCCGACCUAGCCACCAGGAAGAUAGAGAUGAAGCUGCUUUACAAUGAGCCAUAUGUCUUAUCCAUCUACCUUAGUGCUGUCUACACUGGCUGCCAGCAGCUCUCCAGGUUUUCAAAUACGAGUCUUUCCUAGAUCUACCUAGAGAUGUCAAGAA